CCUACGGGAGGCUGCAGUGAGGAAUAUUGGUCAAUGGGCGCGAGCCUGAACCAGCCAAGUCGCGUGAAGGAUGACUGCCCUACGGGUUGUAAACCUCUUUUAUCAGGGAAUAAAGUGAGGCACGUGUGCCUUUUUGUAUGUACUUUAUGAAUAAGGAACGGCUAACUCCCUGCCAGCAGCCGCAGGAAUACGGAGGAUUCGAGCGUUUUCCGGAUUUCUUGGGGUUAAAGGGGGCGUAGAUGGGAAGUUAAGUCAGUUGUGAAAGUGUGCGGGUCAACCGUAAAAUUGCAAUUGAUACUGGGCGUCUUGAGUACAGUUGAGGUAGGCGGAAUUCGUGGUGUAGCGGUGAAAUGCUUAGAUAUCACGAAGAACUCCGAUUGCGAAGGCAGCUUACUAAACUGCCACUGACAUUGAUGCUCGAAAGUGUGGGUAUCAAACAGGAUUAGAUACCCGAGUAGUC
rnacentral:rRNA from 1 species